GUACAUUUCACUUUAUCGGCUGCUGGAUAUUUUGAAUUCCUUUGGGUUUUUAUCGGCUUGGUUUAGAAUGCAGCAGUUCACCUGGAGUCGGUUUGGGUCUUCUGAGGCUUGCUUCUAAACUUUGACACAACAGCUCUUCACUGAGGGCUAAUUCGGCCCCAGCGAGGCCAUGUUUCUGAGAACUGGGCCCAGCGUCCCAGGUUUAUGCACAGUGAAGUAAAGUAAGUUGCCCAAAGCCAUAUGGCAAUUAAAACAUGAACUCUAAGCCUGUCUAACUCAUCUCUGACUGCCCUGCGCCUAAGUAAUGAGUGAGGCACAGUACUCAAUGCUGAAUAACGUCGUGUUGCUGGAAUAGACAUAAAAAAUGUAGCUGCCUCACUAUGAACACUAGAUGGCACUGUAGGCUCAGCCACGCUGGCCUGUCGGAGAGGCAAGGUGAGCCGGGCCAGGUCAGGACGCAACUUCCAGCAUGGUUGACUGAAAGUGAAGUGAGAAAAUGCAGAUUUCUUUGGGGCUUUGUUUUUCUAUUUUAAAACGGGAAGGUUAAUUCUGUAACUUACUUUCAAAGAUGUAAUGGGAACGAAGUUGGGAAUAAAAUUCUUCAUGAAGAUUUUGCAUGUCUCAGUGAGCGGAUCUGAUAGCAUUAAUGAAAUUAUUUCGGUCAUGCACAGUAGGAGGGCCCAGGACAGAGAACGAUGACAUGGAAUCCUCUUUCCUUAAGAUAACAGACUCUCACCUGCCUCCUUACCUCCAUCCAGGAUUAUAAAAAACUUCCAAAGUAGGCUUUUUAGCGUCCACGUGCACAAUUGUAGCCUCUCCCAUCUGAUUUGUUUCCUUUUCCAGUAACCCGCAGCUCUCACUGUCAAAGGUCUGCAUGUAAGAAUGGAGAAUAACUGUGUGAUCUUACAAAGACCUCUGAAGAUAGUCAUCAGCCCCACCCCUGAGCCUUAUUUGUCUGAAUGGUUCUGUGAUCUCUUGUCAGAGCUCUUUCCCAUGAUUUUCAAUAAAUCUGGUGCUUCUCUGAACAGUCUCCUUGAGCCCUGUGUGUGUCUCCCAGUACUACAGCAGUCCUUUAACAAGCAUGUGCUGUCCACUGCUCAUGGCCAGCUUGGGUCUGCUACAGUCACAGAAUCCAU
rnacentral:lncRNA from 1 species